UCUGAUGUUAAAAGGUUGAAAAAAAAUCAUUCUCUUGUGUCUAAUUUUGUAUACGUGCUUAAGUUGCAAUCAGUUACUGCCGAGUGUCAUGCCCUAAAUUUGCAACCAAUUUACAAGCAGAAUAACUUUUGAUUUUUGUCAUUUUUAUACAACAUAGAUACCAUGGCCUUUUUUUGUGUUCUGUUCCAUCCAAUUACUGCCUAAUUGUGAUUAGUACCUUUAAUUUAGUCUUGUCAUCAAGGACAUCUUAUAUAAAGCUAUAAACUAUAUAUGAAAUUAAUUUCAUUUGUUAUGAUAUUUUUUGGGUUUUGUGGGUUUUUUUUCAAUUUUUUUUUCUGUUUACUCAGAUUUGAGGUGAAUAUCAUACAGUGGGGUUGAGCAAUUUGAAGUAAGCUUCUACCUUUAUGUCAUUUUGGGUUUCUUCAAGAGGACUCAGCCUCGCAAGGCUUGAAUGAAUCACAGGUAGAAGGUAUUCAACCCAAUAUGGUCGCGCUUGAGCAGGAGCCGGCGCGUCUUAGGACGUGUCUUUUCAAAGUCGACGAGCGGGUGGAGCAAGCCCGCUCAAUGGAUUCGGCUAGUGACCAAGAGCAGGCCCGACAGCAGGCGGAGCUUCGUGCCCCUUUUAUUCAAAUAGAGGCCCGGCUUGCUGCUCGAAGGCAGGCCCUUGCAGAAGCGGUUAAUUCCCUUCAGCAACAGCUCCGGGCCCAAAACCAAUUCCUUUAAGAAGCGGGGGAAGGGUCGACUUCAGCUCUCGUAUUAAAGGGGGGCACCCCCCUUCCAACUAAAAUAAAAGUAACAAACAUUUCUUCUUUUCUGAUCAGGUCGUGUACAACAACCUUAACCGCACAAACCUAGGCUGGGCCUACUCUUCUUGUUUUUAAUUUCAGUAAAUGAUCAACUAAGUUAGAUGAUUUAACUAUUUUUGUCUCUGAUAAAUGAAGUGUAUUGGUGGAUCUAUGUUCUAUUUUGGGAGGGAGGUAAUGGGAAUAUGGGUAUCCAGUACCUGCAACAUAUGUGUGAAGAUCAGUCCUGCCGGAGAUUCUUCCCAUCAGGUUCUGCCUUUGAGAUAUGGUCUGAGUUUAAAUCUUUAUUGCAAAACCCAUGGCAUAAUUCAUCCUUUGAGGGAUCUGGGUUUGCAAGACUAUUCCUUCCUAUGAACGUGGACAAUCAGAAUUUUUAUUCACAGUAAGAAGUAUAUAUUUCCUUCUUUCUUUUUUCUCUUUAAUUUUUUUAUUGGCUUUCUGCGAAAUUAAGUUUUAUAAUUGAGUUGGCAGUGAUUAGAUUGAAGAAUGUAUAGACUUGUGGGGAUCUAUAUCAAAUUGCCAAUUUUGGAACAGUCAAUGGGCAGAUGUGAUAGCCCAUGUCAUAAAAAAUUACCACAAUCUUAAUUUGGAGUGCUUUCUUUUUUGCCAGAUACUUGAAUAUCUUUGAGGGAUUGGAUCAACCGAGUGAGAUUCCAUCACCAAGAGAUUUAGGAAGUAGAUCUUCUAGAGUGAGCAACAAAGAAGAAUAAUCUUGUAUGAUAAAGAUUUUAUGUAUUAAGUAUUAUAUAUAUGUGUUAAGACGAAUUAUUGAAAAAUGUUAUCUUUGAUACUUUGUUUUUGGAUUAUGAUUUUUUAUUUUCGAAGA